CUUGCUUUUUAGCUUAGUGGCGAACGGGUGAGUAACGCGUGAGUAACCUGCCCUAGAGUGGGGGACAACAGUUGGAAACGACUGCUAAUACCGCAUAAGCCCACGGUACCGCAUGGUACUGAGGGAAAAGGAUUUAUUCGCUUUAGGAUGGACUCGCGUCCAAUUAGCUAGUUGGUGAGGUAACGGCCCACCAAGGCGACGAUUGGUAGCCGGACUGAGAGGUUGAACGGCCACAUUGGGACUGAGACACGGCCCAGACUCCUACGGGAGGCAGCAGUGGGGGAUAUUGCACAAUGGGGGAAACCCUGAUGCAGCGACGCCGCGUGGAGGAAGAAGGUUUUCGGAUUGUAAACUCCUGUCGUUAGGGACGAUAAUGACGGUACCUAACAAGAAAGCACCGGCUAACUACGUGCCAGCAGCCGCGGUAAAACGUAGGGUGCAAGCGUUGUCCGGAAUUACUGGGUGUAAAGGGAGCGCAGGCGGGAAGACAAGUUGGAAGUGAAAACCAUGGGCUCAACCCAUGAAUUGCUUUCAAAACUGUUUUUCUUGAGUAGUGCAGAGGUAGAUGGAAUUCCCGGUGUAGCGGUGGAAUGCGUAGAUAUCGGGAGGAACACCAGUGGCGAAGGCGGUCUACUGGGCACCAACUGACGCUGAGGCUCGAAAGCAUGGGUAGCAAACAGGAUUAGAUACCCUGGUAGUCCAUGCCGUAAACGAUGAUUACUAGGUGUUGGGGGGGAUUGACCCCCUCAGUGCCGCAGUUAACACAAUAAGUAAUCCACCUGGGGGAGUACGACCGCAAGGUUGAAACUCAAAGGAAUUGACGGGGGCCCGCACAAGCAGUGGAAGUAUGUGGUUUAAUUCGAAGCAACGCGAAGAACCUUACCAGGUCUUGACAUCCGAUGCAUAGCACAGGAGAUGUGUGAAAUCCUUCGGGACAUCGAGACAGGUGGUGCAUGGUUGUCGUCAGCUCGUGUCGUGAGAUGUUGGGGUUAAGUCCCGCAACGAGCGCAACCCUUAUUGCC
rnacentral:rRNA from 1 species